CUCUACAGUCAAACCACUCUGAAUACACCAGGUCUCAUCUGAUCUUGGAAGCUAAGCAGGGUCCGGCCUGGUUAGUACUUGGAUAGGAGAACAAAAACAUCAAGAAAGAGG
ensembl:rRNA 5S_rRNA 5S ribosomal RNA